ensembl:lncRNA
GAAAGAUUUGCGCAGAGGUGACACUGAAAGCCCAAGUGUUGUGCCAGAGCAGCACUGACAGGCUGGUGGUGCUGGGGCUGCUCAGCACCACAUGGCUUGCUCACAGUGGGGACAAUGGUGGGACCCAGUGCUGCUCUGGGGACAUGCUGUCACAUGCAGCACAUCAUUCUGCCACUGAAAACCAAGGCUGCAUAGAAGCUAUGGCAAUAGAGUGGAAAGAAGCAAAAAGCCCAUGAUAAUUCAAAAUACAAACAGAAUUCUCUAUGGAAGUACAGAAAUCAGAGUUAACUCAAAAGCAUACUCAGCAGAGUCAGUUGCUCCAGCAUUUCUGGCCAGCAUAUGCCAAGUUGCACAACUGUCAGCACAGAGAACUUCAAUUUUUUUUUUUCGAGCAAACAAAGUGCUUCAGUACUUGUUUCUGAAUAAAGGAAAGAAUGCCAGCUGCAAGCAACAAACUUGGGAAAACAAUGGGCACUAGACAUAUCCAUUUAAACGUACCUGAAGAAUUGGAGCCAUCAUUGCCCAAAUUGCCCAAUGCUCCCCAGUGCAAGGCUCUCCAUCAGUUAUUUAUAUCACUGUCAGGCCUUAGGCUGAAAGUUUACAUGCUGGGUGUAUGCCUGGAGCAAUUACUUUUAUCUUUUUUAUUUUAAUUUCAGCUAAGGCAAUACAGUUGUUUCUGAAUUAAAAUGAAACAGAGCAUUGCUUGCCCACCUUAAAAAUGCCUCCAAUCUCAGCCUUGCCUGCCUCUGCCACCCUGCAAAUACGAACACGGCUCAAAGCUUUGGCAACUUGUGGCAUCAGAGCAAGCUCAUUUUCUGCCAUCUCCAGGAAAAUCCACCCCAAUUUAGCCUGAGUGUUCUAGAUCCUUUUCCAGAAGUGCAGCACUCUACACUUCAGCCUUAAAAUGCAAUGUUUUGUUGACUACUGUCAGCAGCACUGUCCAGAGCCUGCACUACAUGCAGUCAAGCAGGGAGAAGACUGGUGCUGAAUAAAACAUCUCCUGCCUGGAGCCCUUGGCUCUGAUGGCCUCUACAACACCACCCUGCCCUGUGAGUAAGCGUCCAGCUAGGCUGAUUGGAGAAACAAACAAAGAGAAAACAAGAAGCACAGAGACAAUUGAGUCCAAUGAAUCUGGAAAUUCAAAAAGCUUUUCACCAGUGUCUGAAGAUGGGAAUUUCUCCUAUCUGGUUUCAACAGAACCUGUCAUGUAAGAGACAACUGAGAUUUAAUUUUCAUUUUCUCUUGAAGCUGAACAAAAUGACGAUCCAAUAUUAAGCUUGUUUACAAAAGCUAAGGCUUGAAGUCCUUCCAAAAAUAAUUUUGUUCUACUUUUAUUGAGUCAAAUUAAAUGCAAUGUUCUCACUCAGAUGUUAUCCACAAACAUGACUGUUUACUAAGUCAAAUCCUGUGUUACCACCAGCUUGAUUCAGCAAAUGUGAUGAAUGGGUCUGCUCCCAUCACACAUAAUGGUGGGUGCCUAAUGAGGCAGUGCAAAGCAGCCUCUAAAGAUUCCUGCCUCUCAGCUGGCCACCGAAUGUACAACCGGGCAGUUAACUCCUAGGCAGCAACAGCUACAUGAAAUAAGGCUUAUCUAAAGAUUAGUUCUAUUAGAAACACUGGAUAUCAAAUACUUCUGCUCCCAGAAUAAGAAACCGCAGGGUGAAAGCUUGGUUCUCCUCACUUCUAUGUGAGCUCAUGGCUUCAUGUUAGGGAUUCCAGCUGCAAGCCUCAGCGUGAGCCCUGUCGCUUUCAUCAUACUUUAAAGAGCUUUCCUCAGAACUGCAACAUGGAACAUUUAGAGAUACAGUCAUGAUUUGGUGGUUCUGAGAAGUGUUUUCAGGUCUGGAGGAAAGGUUCUCAUUGAGUCAUGAUGUGCAGGAAGGAACCAGGGAGGAGAUGUGGCCCUUUCACCAGAUUCAGCCAUGAUUAUCAUCUUUAAGAAUAUCAGAUAAUGGCAGUAAAUGAGAUACAAGUAGAGAAGAAAAGAUUUGAGACAUCGUGCACUGGUGAAGAAUUAAAAAUUGAGACUAAGUUAUAAACUGCAAAAUAGGAUGCCUGUUCAUAGAAGCUGGACAGAUUAAUAUGAUGGGAAAAGGUGUUUCACCAGAGGUGCAGUGAUGAAGGACUGGCACAAUAGAAAGGUGCUACAAAGGAAGCAGAGAAGACUGCUUAUCCAUAUCAGAAGAUUCCAGGUUCACAGGGGAAAGCUUCACCAAGGAGGGAUCUCCAGAAAGAGAUCCUUCCCCAGUGGCAGUCAGCCCUUAAAUGAGGUCCAAGAGAGGUGCAGCCAGGCCCCACUCCUUCCUAUCACUCAGCUGAAUUGCCUUCACCUGUGCUCCCAGGGCUGACCAGGUCCUUUCUCCAGGUGCUCCAUCAGUGGUUCAGGCUGGGACUCAACAGUUCCCAUACAGAAGCCCUCUCUGUGACUAACUUGUUAGCGCUUGUGAAAACAUAGGAGUUGCUAAUCACCAGGGCCUAUUACUCAAAGCACCCUUUAGAGCCUCCUGACAUCUAGCCUUCCUGAGCUUCUUGAGGGAUGAGAAAGGGACAACAACAAGCAAUUUGGGAAUGGCAUUACGUCACUCAGCCCCAUCAGAGCCUACAGACUGCAAGAGACGAGAUGGCUCGGUGUGCUGUCACAUCUCCAGCAGCACUGUCAGCAACUGGCACAGGUAGCCAGCAGCCCUGCAUCAGCCAUGUCUUGUCCUGCAGAUCCAUGAGUCCUUCCAGGAUCACUGGUGCUCUCCUUCCAGUUACUCUAAUCCCCAGAGCAUGGUGAUUUUCUGCCAAUUUUGCAUAUGCUGCUGUUUCCAGAAAUUCCAGUUCAGUGUUUACACACAUUUCACAGUGAUCACUCCUAACAACCAUUGAGAGAUGGUAUUAUCAUGUUUCUAUUUCCUACGAACUGCUGGCUAAGACUGCACUAAAAGUCCUGAGUGCCAGAUGGUCUGAUUUAUGUUAUUUAUUCUUUCAGCAUCUAUACAGAGCCAUAGGUACUUUAUGCAUUUUGUCAUUUUAAAUCAUAAACACUUUGCCACCCUCAAAUUCUGCCAACUGCCUUGGCUAUUACCUUCGCUGCAUCAUCAGUCACCAGUCAGCAUCCCAGGCUUGCCAGCACCACAGCUGAUGUACAGUUCAGGGAACUGCAAAUCCCGAACAAGCACAUCUCAGACAAGCUGAGAUCCACCAACAGGAUCCACCUCCUGCUCCAGCAUUAAUGGAAUCCGUUGGCAAGCCCUUCAAAUUUGGUACCUUUCUUCAUGUCUGAGAAUUCCUGUGAUGGAUCCCAAACUGUCAAGCAAAGCCUGCUUGGUGAGCAGCCAGAGUUUUUGCUUGGAAAUCUUCUCAUUGGUCUUGGGCAUCAAGACCAAUACUAUAUAUAUAAUAUAUAUGAUAUAUAUAUAUAUAUAUAUAUAAUACUAUACUAUAAUAUAUAUAUAUAAUACUAUACUUGGAAAUCAAGUAUAUGAAAUACAACAUGAAAUCAGAAGCAUUUACAUUUGUGUGGUUCAGAUGACUUGAAACACUGAGUAGACAGAAACACGGAGUUUGAAAGCUCGUGUUUUUACUUCUCCCAGCAGACCAUGAGCUGGAAGUGACUGUCAUGAGUACAGGUAGGAAAUACCAGUGUAUUCCUUUCUCAUUUUGAAGUAUGUCUAUGAGGAAAGACUCUUUGCUAACAGCCAAAAAUAAAAGGAAAGCAGAAAGUUAUCAAGCAGUCUUGAAAAGGCCAUUUGAAUUUCCAGCUGAAAAUCAGCAAAUGUCUAAGUAGACACUUCGGGAGCUUUUCUGAACAGAGCUGGAGCCCUUUGCUGCAACAGCAUCCACCUCCUGCUCCAGGAUUAAUGGAAACCCUUGGCAAGCCCUUCAAAUUUGGUACCUUUCUUCACGUCUGAGAAUUCCUGUGAUGGAUCCCAUGGCACAACAGCAAAGUGCUUCCCAGCCAGCUGCGGACCCGGCCAACAGACAAGUGGGAUCUUCACCAUCUGCUGCCUGGAAGCAGCUCAACAGGACUCAUUUCAUCAAGAAAACAAUGAAGGCAACUGUCAUGUUACUUACAUUGUAUUUAACUACAAAAGCCGCAACACCUCCAUUUCUUCCAAGGCCCAGGCUUUAAGGCCAGAGCUGCCAGCUCCCCUCAUGCUGCCACAACCCUGGUCCCCAAGCAGCUCCUCUGCGCUCUGAGUUAGGGGCAACAAGCACAAAGUGAGAUCAGAAGAGCAUGACAAGCAUUUCAGCAUUAUUAAACGUAUCCAAACAUUUUAUUUAUGGACUGCAAUUUGAUUUUGCUUCUAUUUGUUAUAGUGUUUACUGAGCCAUUAGAUUAAAAAAAAUAUCUACUGGGAUGGAAAAAAGCUGGGGGCUGCUUCAUUGAGACCAGCAGGCAUGAGGAUGGUCCAGUUUUAUUAUUUACUGGGCCACUUAGCUUCUUUGCCACCAGUGUUGCUCAAGUGCAGUGCAUCUACCCAACGGCCAACAGAAUUGCUUCUGUGCCACAGGACAAAGAGAUGUGACCUCAUAGGCCAGUCACAAUGGCAGAGCAAUAGCUGACAUGUUGUUUAUAUGGAAAACAGAAAAUUGCAACUGCUUUAAGAGGUGAAACAUUCUGUAUCAGAUAACAUAGUCAUCAGUCUAUGCUCCUUGGAGGCUAGUAACUCUUGUUGAGCAUCUCACCUAGGAAGAAAGCUUGGCUGUCUGGAGUAAGUGCUAAUUAACUAAAACUCAGUUUUGAAAAAGAGUAUCUGCAGAGGAGAGUUUGGCAAAUGUUUCUUUUCUGAAGCAUUUAAUUUAUCUGAACAAAACACUGCCUUUUAGCUCUAAUUACAGUUUGACCAACUACUGCUGCUUCCCAGGGAGCUACAAAUCUGCACCACAGAAGCAGUCAGACUGGCUGGAUUACCUUUCUUUUUUUCCAUGCAUUUAUUCAUUUAUGUGGUUUGGAAGCACUGUAAGUCAGCUAUUUGCUCUUUCCUUCAAAUGAGAGCCAUUUUGGAUACAGUUUUACAGUCCGACUGCAAAUCCACUGCUGAGGGAAGCCGCUAAUGCAGAGCCUCACAGCUGUACUGCAAUCUGAAUUAACAUUUCUGGGUCUGCCAAAGAUGCAGAAACAUUGCUGCUCACUUAAUAGAUGAUUGAAGGGAGUGUUCCAGGCAGGCAAAUUCAAAGUAUUGUGCAGAUGCUAUUCCUUCAAUUUUUUUUCCUGUAAACAUCAGCAGGCAGAGCAGAGAAGCGUGACAGACAAAGUAGGUUCCCAGCCCAAGCCACAUCCUCACAGAUGGGCACCUGGGUUGCAAGAAAAGAAGAAAAUUUUAUUUCCAUUAAAGACAGCAUUUAAGAGACUAUCAGUGCAAACUUCAAGCAGUUGCUUAGAGAUUACCAAGGUUAACAGAGAGCAGCACUAAGAAUGUCUUCAUGCUACACAGCAAGGAUGAGGGCAGUUUCUGGAACAAGCUGCAAACAUGUCUGGCUGUCAUUUAUUCAGGCAUCCUAAGAACAUCCUUCAGUUGCUGUGUGGGGGGUAGCAAAGGAGCAAAAGUAAUCUCCUGAGGUUUGGAGUCAGUAUGGUGAUGGCUGAGACUUCCUCUGCUCUGGUUCUGCGGCACUGGGAGAUGAGCCUGGUACCUCAGCUCCACACACACUGUGUUUGAAGGCACUUGGGCUAGAAGUGCUUGCCUUCACAAACAGGGUGAUAUGAGCAUGGGAAACGAGGGCAGAAAUGGUUUCUGAUGAAUGGCAGGGCUCUCACAGGCACAAGUGCAGGCUGUUCGUUCAGCAGCAUUGCUGUGGAAGGGCUGUUCCUGCUGCACUGCACGCUGCCAUCCAGUCACUGUGCAGCACCUGCCCCUCUGCAUGGCUCCAGCUGUCCCCUGGUGCCUUGCAGGCAGGCAGGACACAGCUGCUCUUCUGGCACGGCCUUAGCAGCCGGCUCCUCUCCUGCUGGGGCUGCAGAUGUGCUCAUCAGCAGUAGAGAUGCUUCCCAGAUGCAGGAACCAAAUCCACCAACCAGAAAUGGGAAGAGCAGAGUAAAGCACUGCCUGCUUCUGCAUGUGAUAAAAUC